rnacentral:rRNA from 1 species
GACGAACGCUGGCGGUGUGCUUAACACAUGCAAGUCGAACGGUAAGGCCCUUUCGGGGGUACACGAGUGGCGAACGGGUGAGUAACACGUGAGUAACCUGCCCUCAUCUCUGGGAUAACAGUCGGAAACGGUUGCUAAUACUGGAUAUGAGCUUGCAAGGCAUCUUGUGGGUUGGAAAGAUUUUUUUGGUUGGGGAUGGACUCGCGGCCUAUCAGCUUGUUGGUGAGGUAGUGGCUCACCAAGGCUUCGACGGGUAGCCGGCCUGAGAGGGCGACCGGCCACAGUGGGAAUGAGAGACGGCCCAAACUCAUACGGGAGGAAGCAGGGGGGAAGAUUGCUAAAUGGACGGAAGUCUGAUGCAGCACCGCAGCGGGCGGGAGGACGGCCUUGGGGUUGUAAACAGCUAACAAUUGUGACGAAGCUUUUUGUGACGGGAGCAGUAGAAGAAGCACAGGCUAAAUACGUG